GCACGCCACACGCACCGUGCUCUGUUUGGCAAAUACAGACUCCGUCCGCGGACUGGCGCGACUAGUGCGUGCGCACGAACAUUCUAAAAGAACGUGAACUUGAGACGGAGAACACACCAACCACGAGUGCAUAUGAAGAUCUGCAACGGAGUUCGGAGUGUAACUAUAUUACGGAGUAAUUCAUUGAUUAUUUAAUUAAUUAAUUAAAAGUGCUGAGAAAAGUGCUUCGGCUGCGCGCGGGACGCUGACAUGGACGUGAUCCCGAUGUGCAGCAUCUUUAACGAGCUCCAGACAGUACAUGACACUGGAUAUUUCUCCGCACUCCCAUCCUUAGAGGACAACUGGCAGCAGACAUGUCUGGAGCUGGAGCGGUAUCUAUUGCGUGAGCCUUAUGUCGGCGCAGAGGAGUCUCUGUGGAGCCAGCUGGUUCUCUGCUGUGGAGGGUCGUCUGGAGGAGGAGGGGAGGCUGUCUCUGCGUCGGCCCCAGGCCCGAGCUCCCCUCCUGGGCAUGGUGAGGAGGCUGACCACCCCCCGGUGGUGCUGCAGGGAGGACUGGGCCCCGGCUCCGACACGGCCAGCGAGGCCUCGGACAGCUCCGAGGACGCGACCUCCGACCUGCUGCUGACCCCGGCCGAGGUGUCCGUGGAGACGGGCGACAGAGGGGAGAGGUCGUCGCCGGGGGCGACGGAGGGGAGGCGGAGAGUGCAUCGCUGCCUCUUCAGCGGCUGUCGGAAGGUGUACACUAAGAGCUCCCACCUGAAGGCCCAUCAGCGCACUCACACAGGUGAGAAGCCCUACAGGUGUUCAUGGGAGGGGUGUGAGUGGCGUUUUGCUCGUAGUGAUGAACUCACACGUCACUUCAGAAAACACACAGGAGCCAAACCCUUCAAAUGCUCCCAAUGCGACAGGUGUUUCUCGCGAUCUGACCAUCUGGCCCUGCACAUGAAGAGACAUGUCUAGUAUGACCAAGAAGAGUGUGUGUGUGUGUGUGUGUGUGUGUGUGUGUGUGUGUGUGUGUGAAGGGUGAAUGGAGAGGGAAGCUUAUGUGCAAUGUGUUUAUAUAGGUUAUCGUUUACCUGACAGACUAAGCUUUUAUUUUGUCUCUGUUUGCACCGCCUGAGAACCACUAGCCUGAGGACACACGCUCUCAGUGGGCGCUAGCAUUAGGCUAGUAGCGCUUGUGCUAGCCUUAGGAUAACAUGCUGUUAGUUGGUGCUAGCAUUAGGCUAGUAGCGCUUGAACUAGCCUUAGGAUAACAUGCUGUUAGUUGGCGCUAGCAUUAGGCUAGUAGCGCUUGAGCUAGCCUGAGGACACACGCUCUCAGUGGGCGCUAGCAUUAGGUUAGUAGCGCGUGAGCUAGCCUUAGGAUAACAUGCUGUUAGUUGGUGCUAGCAUUAGGCUAGUAGCGCUUGAGCUAGCCUUAGGAUAACAUGCUAUCCGUUGGCACUAGCAUUGGGCUAGUAGCGCUUGAGCUAGCCUUAGGACAACAUGCUGUUAGUUGGUGCUAGCAUUGGGCUAGUAGCGCUUGAGCUAGCCUUAGGAUAACAUGCUGUUAGUUGGUGCUAGCAUUAGGCUAGUAGCGCUUGAGCUAGCCUUAGGAUAACACACUCUCAGUGCGCACUAGCACAAGAUAGUGGUAGAGUCAGCCUUAGUCACUUUACUCAUGUGGCAGCCAAAACGAGGCUACUGGGUACACAAAAAAUGGUGAAAAUGCAUCAAUGAUAUAGCUAGUGUACUAGCCUCCCUUUGGUUAACACCAAAAGACUUUGGCCGCUGCGUGAAUUCGUUUUUGUGCUGGUGAUAGGCUAGUAGCGCUUCAGCUAAUCAGAGGAUAGUGGGUGGUUUGAGCUGAUCCGAGGAUAACACACUGUUUGUGGGCGCUUACUUAAACAUGCUAGCAUGUCUUUUUUUACGUGUUUGAGCUUUAUCAAAACUGUGCCUUACAUCAUUAAAUCAGAGUGUUAGUCACAGAGUAUAAUUGAUUCUGGUAACUGAUUCUGAGUUGUAAUUCACAACCCAGAAAGCACUGGCUUUUGGAGCACGUCCUUGAUGUUCAGAGAGAGAAUGUUCACCAGCAGAACUGCGCAGCAGGUGUGGCGUGCUGUUCCACUCUCUAUAUUCAGCAUUGGCCCUGUAGCGCUAUACAUGGAUCUGGCCUAACGCUAACCUAGCCCUGUAGCGGUGUACAUGGUCCUGGCCUAACGCUAACAUAGCCCUGUAGCAGUGUACAUGCUAACCUAGCCCUGUAGCGGUGUACAUGGCCCUGGCCUAACGCUAACAUAGCCCUGUAGCGGUGUACAUGCUAACCUAGCUCUGUAGCGGUGUAUAUGGCCCUGGCCUAACGCUAACCUGGCCCUGUAGCGGUGUACAUGGCCCUGGGCUAAUGCUAACAUAGCUUUAGCUCAGAAGACUUUGGGAUAUUGCACCCGAUGCCACUGGGCCACUAGUGCAUUCAUAAGGUUAGUGUUUCUUUCAGCUAGCAGACCAGUGUGAGAGUCAGAUUAGCGUGUUAGCUAGCAGACCAGUGUGAGAGUCAGGUUAGUGGGUAAGCUAGCAAACCAGUGUGAGAGUCAGGUUAACGGGUUAGCUAGCAGACUAGCAUGAGAGUCAGGUUAGCGUGUUAGCUAACAGACCACUGUGAGAGUCAAAUUAGCAGGUCGGCUUGCAAACCAGUGUGAGAGGCAAGCUAGUUAUCUAGCAGAGGCGCGGCAGGCAAGCUAGUUAUCUAGCAGAGGCACGGCAGGCAAGCUAGUUAUCUAGCAGAGGUGCAAGUUAAGCAUGUCUGCUACAUGCUGCUGUGUCGCACCCAGGUGUGGCUAAUACACACCUCAUAUCGAAGAUCACCCAGGUGUCACGACCAUCACUGCCAGAUUUGUUUGUUUUGUUUUGGUUUGUUUGGGUCUUACUUGGUUUUGUAUUUUUGUUACUGUUGGAGAAGCCACUAUUGCUCAGUGUUCGUCCCAGAAAAAGUUAUUUUUGUAAAGUUUUAUUUCUGUGUGAAGUAUCCAUGAUGAGUUUGUUUAUUUUUGUAUGGUUACUCAGUUACUUGUGUGAGAGGAAGCAUGGCAUUUGUGUGUGUGUGUGUGUGUGUGUGUGUGUGUGUGUGUGUGUGAGUGUGGUUUCCUUGUGGAUGCAGUUUGUAGCCUGAAGGUGCCUUAGUUCCUGCUUAUCUCUGGCACCCCCCGCAGGCAUGUUUGGAUGUGGCCCCCUGUUGAGACAACUGACCAAUCAUCUGGACAGCUCAAGUAAAGGUGUCAGGAGGUUUACUGAUUGGUCGAUAAAUUCUGGCCAGUCUGCUCUGAUUGAUGGAUGAUAACUAGUUCCUUCUGACGUCUGAUUGGUGGAUGAGGCCUUGCCUUUUUGCUCAUAUCGGUGGAUAAUCUCUGGAUCCUCUGUUCUCAUUGGUGGAUAAUCUCUGGAUCCUCUGUUCUGAUUGGAUGAACUGUUCAUCGUACGUCCUUAUUCACACGUCUCUGGACUCACUGCUCAUUGUCACCUGACUGACUGAUACACCUGUUACCUGUCACACCUGUUACCUGUCUCACCUGUAACCUGUCUCACCUGUUACCUGUCUCACCUGUUACCUGUCUCACUUGUUGGGGCUCCAUACAGCUCAGUCGCAUAUUUUAAGCGCAGUCAUGAAAAUUCGUCCCAAAAAAAAAGGGUUUCCAUCUGCCGUGCUAUGCUACUUAAAAAGCGGAGCAGCAGUACCCCCUGGUGGGCUGUGAGGGCAUUGCUGGUAGCCCCUGACCAAGCCCCUGACCAGGCUCAGCUCACUCUCUUAGUCAAACGGAAACCCAGACACUGUCUCACUUCUCUCACCUGUCUCACUUCUCGCACCUGUCUCACUUCUCGCACCUGUCUCACUGCACCUUACACAAGGACACAUUUAAUUGCAGCGCUGUAAUGUGGUAGUGAUCACAAAGCUCUCUCAGCAGCUUCUGUGUCUGUCUGUGUGUGUGUGUCUCUGUGUGUGUGUGUGUGUGCGUGAGUCAGUGUGUGUAUGUGUGUGUGUGAGAGAGAGGUUUUCAGAGUGUUUAUGAUACACAUACUUUAUGACAGAAAAACGGACUGUGCUUUGGACAGAGAGAAAUGUAAUGUGUGUGAGUGUGUAAGUGUCUAGGUGUGUGAGUGUGUAAGUGUGUAAGUGUGUGAAUGUGUGGGUGUGUAAGUGUGUGAGUGCUCGGAAUGUCAGGAAAUGAUCCGACAUUUCAAAACCCAGAGUCAACUCAAGUCACUGACACACAGACUAAACAUCACCACCGAUACCAGAUACACACACACACACACACACUUACACACACACACACACACACACACACUCACCAUGGGUCUUUAAACCAGGCAAAAUGAAAUCUCAGGAGAGCAAGCAAUGUCCAAAAGCUUCUGUUUGUGUGUGUGUAUCUGUGUGUAUGUGUGUGUAUGUGGACUCUGAGUGUGCAUUGUGUGUGUGUGUGUGGACUGUAUGUGUGCAUUGUUGGUGUGUGUGUGUACUGUAUGUGUGCUGCACUAAAUGAUCGUUGUGAGCAAGCUGUGUAUAAAAUGUCUAUAAGAGCAAAAUGGAUUUUAUUUUUGUCUUGAGUUGUAUGUGUUCUUUUGAAAAGCUGCAUUUCUUUUGAAAUUGUUUUUGAAAAUGUGUUAUUUUUCUGUAUGAAUGUAUUUUUAUUGGAAUAACAAUGAAAUCCUCUUAUGAAAA